GAUGAACGCUAGCUACAGGCUUAACACAUGCAAGUCGAGGGGCAGCAUUGGAGUAGCAAUACUUCAGAUGGCGACCGGCGCACGGGUGAGUAACACGUAUCCAACCUGCCGCUUACUCGGGGAUAGCCUUUCGAAAGAAAGAUUAAUACCCGAUGGUAUAAAGAGUUCGCAUGUUCUCUUUAUUAAAGAAUUUCGGUAAGCGAUGGGGAUGCGUUCCAUUAGAUAGUUGGCGGGGUAACGGCCCACCAAGUCUACGAUGGAUAGGGGUUCUGAGAGGAAGGUCCCCCACAUUGGAACUGAGACACGGUCCAAACUCCUACGGGAGGCAGCAGUGAGGAAUAUUGGUCAAUGGACGAGAGUCUGAACCAGCCAAGUAGCGUGAAGGAUGACUGCCCUAUGGGUUGUAAACUUCUUUUAUAAGGGAAUAAAGUGAGGGACGUGUCCCUUUUUGUAUGUACCUUAUGAAUAAGAAUCGGCUAACUCCGUGCCAGCAGCCGCCGUAAGAC
rnacentral:rRNA from 1 species